UACGUAGGCAGCAAGCGUUGUUCGGAGUUACUGGGCGUAAAGGGUGUGUAGGUGGCCUGUUAAGUUCCGUGUGAAAUCCCUCGGCUUAACCGGGGAACUGCGUCUGAUACUGGAUGGCUUGAGUUCGGGAGAGGGAUGCGGAAUUCCAGGUGUAGCGGUGAAAUGCGUAGAUAUCUGGAGGAACACCGGUGGCGAAGGCGGCAUCCUGGACCGACACUGACACUGAGGAGCGAAAGCCAGGGGAGCAAACGGG
rnacentral:rRNA from 1 species